UCACCCUGGCUAACGCUAGC
rnacentral:misc_RNA from 1 species